ACUCAAGGACAUAAAGAAUAUCCGAUAAAAUUGGAACGAUACAGAGAAGUCCCUACGCAAGGAUGACAUGCACAAAUUGAAAAAUGGUCAAAAAAUUU
rfam:Vitis vinifera, whole genome shotgun sequence of line PN40024, unoriented chromosome 7, chr7